GAAUGAAGGAGGGAGACUAAAAAGGUUACUAUGGUCUCUUUUAGAUCUCAACAACCAGGAUUUCCCUUUAUAACCUUCCUUCUUCUUAUCUUUCAUUCUGUCUCAUCUCUCUUAUGUAGAUAUAGGAAUUUAGCAUUUUUUUAAGGAAAAAAGGGAAGAAACUUGACAGUCCAAUGGAGAAAAAAGAAAAGCAGAGAGAGAAACAGAGACAGAUAUAUAUUGUUUGUCCUUCAUUUUGAAGCAAGCCAGUGACCUCUUGAGGUGAUGUGUUGACGUGAAGGAGAUUAGAUUUAAGUAAGGCAGACUUGCUCAGUCAUCAACCUCUCUCCCCCAGAGCCACCAAAGUCCAGAGGAAAGACAAAAGUCAGCAUAAAUGGAGAUGUCCCAGGAUGCAGGGGAAGACUUCUUCCAUUGGCUUCUUCCAUUCCUGACCAAGCCAUAGGUGCUCCACAGUGCCAGCAUCAGCUCCCUUCAGAGUCGCUGAAAGAAAUUGUUCUUAUUCACCCAUUCUGCUAGGGGAAGUUUCACAUGCCUGGAGAGGACAUCCCCUAAAUCACUGACAGGUCUGAGAUCUGUCAGUUACCCUCAUCCUCAUUUAGUCCUACUGUGGAGAUGGUUUUACUGGGGGUGGCUGCUGCUCCUGCUACAGCUUCUUGGAGCCACAGAGUGGAAAACAUUAUGAGGAGAAGAAGUUAUGUAAUUCAUAUUUUUUUAUGGAAGAUCCUCCCUAAAGUGAGCUCAAUGACAGAUCCUUACUUGCCUGCAUCUAAUAGGUAAGAAGAUGAACAAUGAGGAAGAGUUGUUGAAUGAGCCUAAUAAAGAAAAUCAACUUAAACUGAUUGCUCUGAGC
rnacentral:lncRNA from 1 species